rnacentral:rRNA from 1 species
UACAGAGGUGGCAAGCGUUGUUCGGAAUUACUGGGCGUAAAGGGCGCGUAGGCGGCCAUCUAAGUCAGACGUGAAAUCCCCCGGCUUAACCUGGGAACUGCGUCUGAUACUGGACGGCUUGAGUAUGGGAGAGGGAUGUAGAAUUCCAGGUGUAGCGGUGAAAAUGCGUAGAUAUCUGGAGGAAUACCGGUGGCGAAGGCGGCAUCCUGGACCAUUACUGACGCUGAGGCGCGAAAGCUAGGGGAGCAAACAGGGG